AACGCACAUGGCGCCCCUGUGGGGCAUGCUUGUUUCAGUGUGUACUCCUCUCACAAAGGGCUCCGCCUUUUCGUGGUAUAUGAGCCCCACGGCGCCUCCUGUGCGCCGCGUGGCUUGAAGUGCGACUUUCAGAGGCCCUGGUGUGUUUGCAAGCCCUUCCUUGGGAUGCAAUGCAGCGCGGUGUGGUAGGUUCCCCUCGUGGGAUAUCAAAACCCCCGUGACCUGUCUUGCGUUCACUCCAAACUGAGGAAAUCAAGGGCUUUCGAUCCCCGUUGCUGGUUUGUCUGAAGGUGCCCUUUUUCAGGGCGCCUGAACAGGGAAGCAAUUCCCACCCCCCUUCAAAUUUGCACCUGAAACCAAGUAAGAGAACCCGCUGAAUUUAA
rnacentral:misc_RNA from 1 species